rnacentral:sRNA from 1 species
AAUUGAACUGUGGGAUGAUGUUCUCAAUUACAAUGAGAAAAGUAUGCUUGAUUACAACAAUGAGCAGUUGCAAGUAUUUAGACAAAAAUAUAUAUGGACUGGAUUCUAGACAAUGACAACGUGUGAAGAGAACAAGUGCUGCAACACUUAGGAUUUUAUAGGUUUUCAAUUAUAUGUUGAUUAGUUGCCUAGAUAUUUACAUUGUACGAG